UCACGGUUUGCACCGGCAGUCUUGUUAGAGUUCCCGACAUUACUCGCUGGCAACUAACAACAGGGGUUGCGCUCGUUAUAGGACUUAACCUGACACCUCACGGCACGAGCUGACGACAACCAUGCAGCACCUUGUAAAGUGUCCGAAGAAAAAACUGUUUCCAGUCCUGUCACUCUACAUUUAAGCCCUGGUAAGGUUCCUCGCGUAUCAUCGAAUUAAACCACAUGCUCCACCGCUUGUGCGGGCCCCCGUCAAUUCCUUUGAGUUUCAAACUUGCGUUCGUACUCCCCAGGUGGGAUACUUAUCACUUUCGCUUAGCCACUCAGGAUUGCUCCCGAACAGCUAGUAUCCAUCGUUUACGGCGUGGACUAC
rnacentral:misc_RNA from 1 species